AUUGUGUUAAUGCAUUUGUUAGAUUUUGAGUAAUAAGGGUAAAAUAUAAUAAAAAAGUAGCCAAGUAGCCAAAAGCCUAUUCGUAUAAGAAAUUUUUGAUAACAACCUGACUCGGUAAUGUAAGACUUGCUAUAAGCUAGCCAAACUGAUUCACCAAAUAAAAUAAAGUCUUCAUAAUUAUAAAUAUGUAUUGCGUAUUAAAAUGAAACAGUAUAUUGUUCCUGUCAAAAUUUUCUAAAGACUAACUUUUCUUUGACUUUUUAAAUGCUAUUAAAAUAAUCAUACAGUUAUGUGCCUAAUGGUUAAGAAUAUAAUGGUUAAAAAUAGAAUUACUAUAAGGUAAUUCGUCCUUCUUACUCUCUCUCAACCGGUCUCAAUCGCUCUCUCCCUUUUCUUCGACAAAAACGCUACACAUCUUCGUGACGUUCCGUAAAUAAUUUUACCCUCAUGGGCCUAUAGAAGUUUCAGAAGUUAAUAUUCCAUUCUCUUCGCCAAUUCCUGUUCACUUAUUGCAUAACUGCUAGAGGAAGGAAUCUGAAAUAAUGCUUAAUAAACUAAAACAGGCUCAAGGAAAUUUUUCGAGGAAGCCAUUCAGAUAUCCCACGGUCAGAUUCGAUGACCAAACGUAUACUUGUUCAGUACAAAAGUUAUAUAUUCUUGUAACAUGACCUCGAUUCGAUAAACACUGAGCAAGAAAGCAUCUACCCAGUAUACAAAAUCAACCACCAAACAUUCAUACUUUAAAACCCGAAAAAUACGCACUGUCUUUCCUCUAACAAAAUAUUAUAAAUUUGACUAACUCUGCUAUCAGAACUCGGUUACGGUGCCACAGAAUGUAUUUUAUUAGGUUUUCUUUUACUGUAUAUAUUAAUGUAGGUAGUUUAUGUUCUUUUUUUGCACAAACUCGCUAACAUUAUUUUAGUUAAAAGAUAAUAAUCGUAUAUAUCUACAAUAUUAAAAAAAAUACGACCUUCAAUGGGUAUUACGGUGCAUUUUGCUACCGUAAUUAUAAUCGUACGGUAGGUGGUAGUUCUUUGCUGUAGUUACGGUGCAGUUGGCAACACUGCUGGGCAUUAUUGAUUUUUACUAGGAAAGCGUAGCUAUAUUUGUAUUAUUAGAUUCAGUCCUUUGUUUCCUGGUUAGUUAAAAGCUAGUGCUCAGGACAUCGAGAGGCAUGAAUGGCGUUGUGCAUAUGUACUGUGUUGUGAUUGACUAUUCCGCGACGGCCCAAGCCGAGGUACGAGUCUCGCCCCCCAUGCCUUCCCCGGUAUUCCUCAAAAUGUUGGACAAGUGUUUUGAAAAUGUCUGCGAGUUGGAUUUGAUAUUUCAUGCUGACGCCACCCACCAGGUGUUGGAUGACCUGGUUAUGGGCGGAAUGGUGUCACAGACGAACAUGGUGGAUAUAUUGUGCAGAGUGUAAGAGCAGAAUAAGAUGCAAAAGGCUGAGGCCGGCAACGCACUCGCGAGCCCUCUGGCAGAUUGUACGAGCAGAAUAAGAUGCAAAAGGCUGAGGCGGGAAUCUCGGCGGCACCGGCGAGGACCGUGUCAGCUGUCAAAAGCAUGAAUUUACCACAACAUUUGAGGGAUAUGAAACUGCCAGAUCUGCCCCAGGCAAUCAAGAGAAAAUUAGAAGUGUCCUUUUUAACCAUUUCAGAUUUAUUGGUGAUAGAUGAACAGGAAGUAAACAAUCGUGUCCAUAAAAAACCGUCUUUCAACACUUUAUGACCAACGCAUCCUGAUUUUUUUGCACAUGUAACACGCAUAGGCCCAGAAGGUUUAGAAAAACUCGUCGUGACUGGCAGAGUGGAGGGCACCAGACCUCGAGGCCGAUCCCCUACUCACUGGGGAGAGUGGAGGAAGUUGUGUGGCACCACUAAUCUUCAGAAAUGAGGAGUGUGACUGAAGGAGAAUCGAUUAAUAAAUUGUUAUUUACAUUUAGAAAUUCAAAUUAAAAGUACAAAGACAAAACGCUGCCUAAACAAGAUGGCGUCGCAGAUGUUGGAAGGUCGUGGUGCUGUCCACAUACAAUUGUCUAUGAUGCAUUGCAUUUAAAUUUGGAAUAUCUUUCUUUUAUUUUUAGAUGUGCGGUGUCAUUUAAUACAGUCUUAUAUAUUUCCUCAUACAAGUAAACACAAUGUUUUCAAGUAUUAUUUGCAUUUUAAUUAAUUGCUAUAGCCACAAGUCCACCCUAUCAGCAGACAUGUCAUGCUUGUCAAGCGUCAAAUUUUAAUAAACAUUGAAAUUUA